GAUGAACGCUGGCGGCGUGCCUAAUACAUGCAAGUCGAGCGAACAGACGAGGAGCUUGCUCCUCUGACGUUAGCGGCGGACGGGUGAGUAACACGUGGAUAACCUACCUAUAAGACUGGGAUAACUUCGGGAAACCGGAGCUAAUACCGGAUAAUAUAUUGAACCGCAUGGUUCAAUAGUGAAAGACGGUUUUGCUGUCACUUAUAGAUGGAUCCGCGCCGCAUUAGCUAGUUGGUAAGGUAACGGCUUACCAAGGCAACGAUGCGUAGCCGACCUGAGAGGGUGAUCGGCCACACUGGAACUGAGACACGGUCCAGACUCCUACGGGAGGCAGCAGUAGGGAAUCUUCCGCCAUGGGCGAAAGCCUGACGGAGCAACGCCGCGUGAGUGAUGAAGGUCUUCGGAUUGUAAAACUCUGUUAUUAGGGAAGAACAAAUGUGUAAGUAACUAUGCACGUCUUGACGGUACCUAAUCAGAAAGCCACGGCUAACUACGUG
rnacentral:rRNA from 1 species